rnacentral:sRNA from 1 species
UGUAAAUAAGGGCAUCAAGGUCAGGAAUCCGACGCAAGCUUGCCUGCAGGAGAGGGCAUGACCUUGAGACCCGCCAAAAACAUGAGUAAGCAGCCAUUUUUUCGCAGAAAAAAUGAGCGGAUUACGAAUGUUUUUGAGGGUGCUAUGUGCCGGUGGCACAUGAUCAGCACCGACCGGAGCGGAGCGCAGACGUGGAAGCACGAAGUGCGGAGCGAUCCGGUUACA